CCUCAGGCGCAGAGUGAGUAGCCACCGCCAGUCAGGUGCCUGAGGGACCGUCUAGACCCCGACGUCUCCCGAGAGGCGAGCGGCGCGGCGAGCGGGGCUUCUGUCAGCGCGGCGCCGCGAGCGCGGGGACAUGAACGGCUUCACGCCCGAGGACAUGAGCCGCGGCGGGGACGCGGCCGCCGCCGUGGCCGCCGUGGUCGCCGCUGCCGCCGCCGCCGCCUCAGCCGGGAACGGGGCCGGAGCGGGCGCCGGGGCCGAGGUGCCGGGCGCCGGUGGGGUCUCGGCGGCGGGGCCCCCGGGAGCGGCCGGGCCGGGCCCGGGGCAGCUGUGCUGUCUGCGCGAGGACGGCGAGCGGUGCGGCCGGGCGGCGGGCAACGCCAGCUUUAGCAAGAGGAUCCAGAAGAGCAUCUCCCAGAAGAAGGUGAAGAUCGAGCUGGAUAAAAGCGCAAGGCAUCUUUAUAUUUGUGAUUAUCAUAAAAACUUAAUUCAGAGCGUUCGAAACAGAAGAAAGAGAAAAGGGAGUGAUGAUGAUGGAGGAGAUUCACCUGUUCAAGAUAUUGAUACUCCAGAGGUUGAUUUAUACCAAUUACAGGUGAAUACACUUAGGAGAUACAAAAGACACUUCAAACUCCCAACCAGACCAGGACUUAAUAAAGCCCAGCUUGUGGAGAUAGUUGGUUGCCACUUUAGGUCAAUUCCAGUGAAUGAAAAAGACACCUUAACAUAUUUCAUCUACUCAGUGAAGAAUGACAAGAACAAGUCAGAUCUCAAGGUUGAUAGUGGUGUUCACUAGGAGAGAUGGAAUUGAGAGAUUAGUACCUAAUCCCAGCAAACAAAAAUAUUCAAGGAGUCCGUAUGGAUUAUGAUGAGGAAAAGAAAAAUUUUAUCAAGAAGAGAUGAACUAUUAGUGAAUAAAGUACAAAGAGUGGGAGGACUUUUGCCACAAGAGCAGCAAAGACCAAGAAGGCUUAAAUCCUUCUGGAGUUGCUGAGGGUAGGGUGUGGAGAGAAGCAGCAGCCAGUUUCAACCUUUGCAGGCUCCUCCUAGGAGAGAAGGAGGACCUGUUUUAUUGACACUUAGGAAAACUUACUCCACCAAGGAGCCUCCAGUGAAGCCCUUGAGGAGACAGCAUUAUUAAUCACCAAGGGGCUGUCACCUACGAUGUCAAGCUGAUGCUGCUGCAGCUGUAGGAAGGGACCUGCUUUCCAGAGGCUCUCGUACUGGAAUUAGGAUGCACUUGGGAACUGGCAGGAUGCCAGAGAGGCAGCUGUGGCUGUAACGGGGCUCAUGGCGAGGAUCUUGUUGCUUAGAAACUUUUCAUCAGAAGAGCAAACACAUGACCUCCUUUACCUGGGCACGGACACUGGAGAAGCAGCAAGACGGAACAAGACAUUGACCCCCUAAAUCUUCUUGCCUUGUUCCCCGAAUACUCUCAAUUAUGCCAGUACAGGUAGCCUGUUCUUAUUCCUGUUUCACCGACGGACAAGAAUUCUGACCCCAAGAGAAUGAAAAUAUUCUGAGGAGCAAGCUUGAAGGUAACUAAGUAAAUUCAACCUAUUCCAACUGUUAUUUUUGGUUUGCAUUUGCCAGGUGAAUUGCCAUGACACGUGCAGUAAUGAUUCCUUAUCUUUACAUUUGCAUAUUGUUUGUUGUUAAAAAAGUAGGAUCCUUGUUUGAAAAAGGUGAGGAAAUUGUUGGACUUCACCCUUUUGUUUUUGUUCUGCAGGAAUUAUUUUGUUCUUUGUGUGUAUGUUUACAUUUGUCUUGCAUAUAAGUAUGCCGGCUGUGAGAUCUCUGUCUGGAUGUAUGUAUGUUUCAUUAUGAUUAGGUGUCUUUGUCUUUGGAUAGUAUUGCUGAGGUUAACUUGUAAAUGAGCUCUAUUUAAUAGACUUAAAAGUAAACGCUUACAAAUUAAAUACUACUGUUUAGAAAACAGGCUAAAAUGAACUUCAGGUCCUCAUGAUCUGGGAAAUAUUCAGUAUGGAAUUGAUAUCUGGUAUUGAAGCUAGCUUAAGCUUGUUGGUUUGCCUAAUGCAGACAUGUCUUUUAGAAAAUUCAGACUAUUUAGGAUAAAUCUUAUAACCAGCAAUAGAAAUUUCUAGUAAGCGUUUCCAAAAAGUAAGUAUAAAUUGUGAGAGAUGCCUUUAACAUUACUUACUUAGGAUGCUUUUAAAUGCUUGUAAUAGAAAACACAACUAACAGUAUCUUAAACAAUUAGGACUAAUUCCUAAUGGUUCCAGCACAGAUUCAGUCAGUGAAUCAGUGACAUCAAGGAUCCAGGUUCUUGCCAUAUUUUCCUCGGCCAUUCUUACAUGUCAGUUUUGUCCUCAGAUUUGUUCCCUCAUGAUCUUAAGACAGCUUCCACGGCACCAGUUCUCAUCCAACAAUGACCAGAUUCAGGAAAGUAUGAACCUUUUGUCCCUUUCAAGAGCAAAGGAAACCCAAAAGUUCCCUUAUUUGCCUUCACAGCUCCUAAGCAAGGUUGCACCUGUAUUAAAUCAAAUACUGCCAAGAAGAAAAGGAAUUACACCAGGAUUGCCUUAACCUAAUCCUCAUUCACCGACUGGGGCUAAGGAGGGACCAAUGAAAAUCACGGGCCUAAUAACUACACAGUAUUGGGGCUCUCUUGGCAAGGAGGUAUGAAGGGAAUUGUUGGUGUGGUCAAUACAGACAUGUCUUUUAUUGUGCCUGGGUUUACUGAGGGUGACUGGGUUUAUGUUGUUUCUAUUGCACAGUUUGUCAACAGAAAAAAACUGGUAUGAUGAAAUUCUUAUAAGUAAAUUAGAUGCAAAUAGGGUGAGAGCUUUGGGGUGACCUCUUUAGAAAUGGCUAUGAUUUGGGAAUGUCUACUUAAGGGUGGUCCCUCCAGAUAUUUGGUAACUUAAAUUUACUUAAAUUUUAGAGUAGUGCUAGUUUGGGUUGGAUGAUGGGGGAUUACUGAAUAGCUAGGUCAUUCCCAGGCAGGGUACUGAAACAUUAAGUACUGAACAUAGAAGCUAAAGGUAAAGGUGUUUGGGACUAUAUUUGGUGCCACACUGAGAUAUUUUCUAUAAAAAGCAGAUGUUUUUAAAAAUUAUUAUUGUUGUUUGCCAACCUACAGAAUGCUAAAGGACAGUUAAUAAUUGAGUGCUUCUUGGUUUUCACUAGAAAUUAAGGGUUUUUUUUAAGAGCUUUGGAUUCAAAUUUAAAUAUGUAAUUAAAGCUACUAAAAUAAUAAAGGAAACAUUUCAGUAUACAGCAGGAAAGUAGGAUAUGUUUUUUUUAAAGGGAGUUUUUUUACACAUGGUUGGGCUGAGAUUAGGUUAAACUUAAUUAAGUAAAUGGAUUUUAUUAUUAAAAAUAGGCUGGUGCAAGACUAGAUUUGGUCCCUCUCCACUAAGGGAACAAGUUUACUUAGAAUGCUGCUUUUGGUAACAGAUUAUGUGAACUUCCUUGCCUUUUAAGUGAUCUAUAUUUGCUUCUGAGAUCUUUUCUCACUUUGGUUAAGAAACAAGUAUUGUCUUACAGUGACCUAUAAUCUUACUUGACCAAGUGUUUUGAAAGUUUUUGACGAACUUCCCAAAUAUCAAAUUUUAAUUAAAAUUCUUUUGCCCUCCAGCUAACUUUGGGAUGCUUUAGAGGGCCCUUGACGCAUCUUAGAGAGAAGUAUUUAACUUGUAUUAUUUG